UACGGAGGGUGCGAGCGUUGUCCGGAAUUACUGGGCGUAAAGGGCGCGUAGGCGGCCCGCUAAGUCGAACGUGAAAUCCCCGAGCUCAACUCGGGAACUGCGUCCGAUACUGGCGGGCUUGAAUCCGGGAGAGGGAUGCGGAAUUCCAGGUGUAGCGGUGAAAUGCGUAGAUAUCUGGAGGAACACCGGUGGCGAAGGCGGCAUCCUGGACCGGCAUUGACGCUGAGGCGCGAAAGCUAGGGAGCAACGGG
rnacentral:rRNA from 1 species